rnacentral:rRNA from 1 species
AGAAUCAACGCUGGCGGCGUGCCUAACACAUGCAAGUCGCACGAGAAAGGGGAGCAAUCCCUGAGUAAAGUGGCGCACGGGUGAGUAACACGUGAAUAAUCUACCUCCGAGUGGGGAAUAACUGAGAGAAAUCUUAGCUAAUACCGCAUAACACUUACGAGUCAAAGCAGCAAUGCGCUUGGAGAGGAGUUCGCGGCCGAUUAGUUAGUUGGCGUGGUAAUGGCCCACCAAGACGAUGAUCGGUAUCCGGCCUGAGAGGGCGCACGGACACACUGGAACUGAAACACGGUCCAGACUCCUACGGGAGGCAGCAGUGGGGAAUUUUGCGCAAUGGGGGAAACCCUGACGCAGCAACGCCGCGUGGAGGAUGAAGCCCCUUGGGGUGUAAACUCCUUUCGAUCGGGAAGAUAAUGACGGUACCGAUAUAAGAAGCCCGGCUAACUUCGCGCCAGCAGCCGC